UACAGAGGUCCCAAGCGUUGUUCGGAUUCAUUGGGCGUAAAGGGUGCGUAGGCGGCAUGGUAAGUUGAAGGUGAAAUCUCGGAGCUCAACUCCGAAACUGCCUUCAAUACUGCCGUGCUUGAGGACUGUAGAGGAGAAUGGAAUUCACGGUGUAGCAGUGAAAUGCGUAGAUAUCGUGAGGAAGACCAGUGGCGAAGGCGAUUCUCUGGGCAGUUCCUGACGCUGAGGCACGAAGGCUAGGGGAGCAAACGGG
rnacentral:rRNA from 1 species